AUUGAACGCUGGCGGCAGGCCUAACACAUGCAAGUCGAGCGAGCGGCGGACGGGUGAGUAAUGUCUGGGAAACUGCCUGAUGGAGGGGGAUAACUACUGGAAACGGUAGCUAAUACCGCAUACCAUCAGAUGUGCCCAGAUGGGAUUAGCUGGUAGGUGGGGUAACGGCUCACCUAGGCGACGAUCCCUAGCUGGUCUGAGAGGAUGACCAGACACACGGGAGCUGAGACACGGUCCAGACUCCUACGGGAGGCAGCAGUGGGUAAGAUUGCACAAUGGGCGCAAGCCUGAGGCAGCCAUGCCGCGGGUGUGAAGAAGGCCGUCGGGUUGGAAAGCACUUUCAGCGGGGAGGCGUUACCCGCAGAAGAAGCACCGGCCAACUCCGUGCCAGCAGCCGCGGUAAUUC
rnacentral:rRNA from 1 species